GGCAACCACACCUGCCGUUUCUUACCUACUUUCUUAUCUACUGUGUAAUAACACAAAAGUACAAAAAUACACAAUUUCAAUAUGCAGAUGACUAUCCAGUUAUGCAACUCUCAUAUCAUGCAGGUCGUUCCUGUAAUCGUGGGAUACAAGCUACAUCCCAUGCAGCCCACCUGUAACAUCUAUCACUCAAUAGCACGCCUGGAAAAGUGCUGAUCAGUCAAAUAAAUGGGACACAAAGUGCUUUUAUGAAAUAAUUUCCUCAAAAGAUCACGUCUACGCAUUUUAAUGUGACAUUUGAGUCAUAAUAAAAGAAAAAGGAAAGGUGGAGAGAGAGAAUCGAGGACCACUGGGUCUCGUAUUGCAGGUCAGUGUCAGCAGCAGCUGCGUGAAUGGAUGUGAGAGGCCAAGCGGCGUGGUGACAGAGUCAUGGGGUCCACAGAAAUAGACACACGAAAUAGCAGACGCAUUGAUAUAAAGCGGCUGAAACACUGUGCUACAUCUAUUAAGCUGCAUAAGAAGGGAAUCAAAUGUGAUGCUUUUAACCAACUAUUUACUGAAUGCAAACAGCUGAAAGCAUUAGAUGGGGCAAUGUUUAACCUUAAAGGCGGUCUCGUAACACUGACCACAUUUCACAUUCAAGAACCAGCCGAGUCAUUCAACUGACGGAAUCAAACAGCUGUUCUGAGGUCAGCCACUGUUGGGUCACAUGACUACACAAGACACACUGUCAGUGGACCACAGAGAGGGCCACAGAAGUCAGGGAAUCCCCCCUGAAAAGCGACUGGGAUAGCUUUGAGUAACAAUUGGGUGGGUUUUGCCGAGAAAACCUGGCAACCCUUUUUCUGAAGGAUUAUUUGACACUACGGACUGGAGUAAUGUUGCUGAGACACAGGAAUAAAUAAUGCAUUAAAAUAUACUCAAAUACAAAGCCCAACUAUUUUAAAUUGUAAUACUAUUUCACAGCAUUGCUGUUUUUAUUUUAUUUUUGAUUAAUAAAUGCAGCCUUGGCGAGCGAUAGAGUUGAAAAACUAAAUCGUACCAACUCUUAACUUUUAAACAAUAACGCAUAAAAGGCUAAGCAUGCAGUGUUUUCAAAGUGAACAUGU